UACGGGGGGAGCAAGCGUUGUUCGGAAUUACUGGGCGUAAAGGGCUCGUAGGUGGCCAACUAAGUCAUACGUGAAAUCCCUCGGCUUAACCGGGGAACUGCGUCUGAUACUGGAUGGCUUGAGUUUGGGAGAGGGAUGCGGAAUUCCAGGUGUAGCGGUGAAAUGCGUAGAUAUCUGGAGGAACACCGGUGGCGAAGGCGACAUCCUGGACCAACACUGACGCUGAGGAGCGAAAGCCAGGGGAGCAAACGGG
rnacentral:rRNA from 1 species